rnacentral:rRNA from 1 species
GAUGAACGCUGGCGGCGUGCCUAAUACAUGCAAGUCGAGCGAAUGGAUUAAGAGCUUGCUCUUAUGAAGUUAGCGGCGGACGGGUGAGUAACACGUGAGUAACCUGCCCUUGACUCUGGGAUAACUGCGGGAAACUGUAGCUAAUACCGGAUACGACCCUCGGCGGCAUCGCCAGGGGGUAGAAAGAAUUUCGGUCAAGGAUGGACUCGCGGCCUAUCAGCUAGUUGGUGAGGUAACGGCUCACCAAGGCGACGACGGGUAGCCGGCCUGAGAGGGGAACCGGCCACACUGGGACUGAGACACGGCCCAGACUCCUACGGGAGGCAGCAGUGGGGAAUAUUGCACAAUGGGCGCAAGCCUGAUGCAGCAACGCCGCGUGAGGGAUGACGGCCUUCGGGUUGUAAACCUCUUUUAGUAGGGAAGAAGCGAAAGUGACGGUACCUGCAGAAAAAGCACCGGCUAACUACGUGCCAGCCGCCGCCGUAA